rnacentral:rRNA from 1 species
AGAGUGAACGCUGGCGGUAGGCCUAACACAUGCAAGUCGAACGGCAGCACGGUAAGAGCUUGCUCUUAUGGGUGGCGAGUGGCGGACGGGUGAGGAAUACAUCGGAAUCUACCUUUUGGUGGGGGAUAACGUAGGGAAACUUACGCUAAUACCGCAUACGCCCUUCGGGGGAAAGCCGGGGACCAGCAAUGGCCUGGUGCUGAUAGAUGAGCCGAUGUCGGAUUAGCUAGUUGGUGAGGUAAUGGCUCACCAAGGCGACGAUCCGUAGCUGGUCUGAGAGGAUGAUCAGCCACACUGGAACUGAGACACGGCCAGACUCCUACGGGAGCAGCAGUGGGAAUUUGGACAAGUGGGGAACCUGAU